rnacentral:rRNA from 1 species
GGGUUGUGAGGUUAAGCGACUAAGCGUACACGGUGGAUGCCCUGGCAGUCAGAGGCGAUGAAGGACGUGCUAAUCUGCGAUAAGCGUCGGUAAGGUGAUAUGAACCGUUAUAACCGGCGAUUUCCGAAUGGGGAAACCCAGUGUGUUUCGACACACUAUCAUUAACUGAAUCCAUAGGUUAAUGAGGCGAACCGGGGGAACUGAAACAUCUAAGUACCCCGAGGAAAAGAAAUCAACCGAGAUUCCCCCAGUAGCGGCGAGCGAACGGGGAGCAGCCCAGAGCCUGAAUCAGUGUGUGUGUUAGUGGAAGCGUUUGGAAAGGCGCGCGAUACAGGGUGACAGCCCCGUACACAAAAAUGCACAUGCUGUGAGCUCGAUGAGUAGGGCGGGACACGUGGUAUCCUGUCUGAAUAUGGGGGGACCAUCCUCCAAGGCUAAAUACUCCUGACUGACCGAUAGUGAACCAGUACCGUGAGGGAAAGGCGAAAAGAACCCCGGCGAGGGGAGUGAAAAAGAACCUGAAACCGUGUACGUACAAGCAGUGGGAGCACGCUUAGGCGUGUGAC